rnacentral:rRNA from 1 species
GCGCAGGCAGGCGGUCGUCAAGUCGGAAUGUGAAAUCCGGGCUCACCUGGGACCUGCAUCAGAAACUGGCAGGCUGGAGUCUGCUAGAGGGGGGGUAGAUUCCAGGUGUAGCGGUGAAAUGCGUAGAGAUCGGGAGGACAUACCGGUGGCGAGGCAGCCCCUUGGACAAAGACUGACGCUCAGGUGCGAAAGCGUGGGGGAGCAAACAGGAUAAGAUACCCUUGGUAGUCCACGCGGUAAACGAUGUCGAUUUGGAGGUGGUGCCCUUGGAGGCGUGGCGUCGGGAGCUAACGCGUUAAUUCGACCGCCUGGGGAGUACGCCCGCAAGGUUAAAACUCAAAUGAAUUGACGGGGGCCCGCACAAGCGGUGGAGCAUGUGGUUUAUUUCGAUGCAACGCGAAGAACCUUACCUGCUCUUGACAUCCACAGAACUUUCCAGAGAUGGAUUGGUGCCUUCGGGAAUUGUGAGACAGGUGCUGCAUGGCGGUCGUCAGCUCGUGUUGUGAAAUGUUGGGUUAAGUCCCGCAACGAGCGCAACCCUUAUCCUUUGUUGCCAGCGGUUAGGCCGGGAACUCAAAGGAGACUGCCAGUGAUAAACUGGAGGAAGGUGGGGAUGACGUCAAGUCAUCAUGGCCCUUACGACCAGGGCUACACACGUGCUACAAUGGCGCAUACAAAGAGAAGCGACCUCGCGAGAGCAAGCGGACCUCAUAAAAUGCGUCGUAGUCCGGAUUGGAGUCUGCAACUCGACUCCAUGAAGUCGGAAUCGCUAGUAAUCGUAGAUCAGAAUGUCUACGGUGAAUACGUUCCCGGGCCUUGUACACACCGCCCGUCACACCAUGGGAGUGGGUUGCUACACAAGAAGUAGGUAGUCUUAACCUUCGGGAG